rnacentral:ncRNA from 1 species
CCCUUUUAACUUUGCUUUUGUACAGGAGGUAGUAAUGCAGAAUUUUUCGCAAUGGGUGAAAGCCUGAUAGAACCUGCUACAUGGAGGUAAAAAGCUCAUGGGUCGUGAACUUUUUUUCUCGAAGAGGAAGUAAUGACAAUAUAUGAGGAAUAAAUAUAGGCUAACUUAAUGUCGAUAGCUGUGGUAACACAUAGGAUGCAAACGUCAUCCGAAAUGAUUGGUUGUAAAGCAUGUAUAGAUACUUUUUUAAGUCUUCAUUAAAUCUUUGAGUUCAACCUUGGAUGAGCGGUGGAAAUCAUCAAACUAGAGUAUGGUAGGAGUAGAGAUAAUUUCUGAUGGAGUGAUGAAAUAUGUAGAGAUUAAAAAAAAAAAAGAAAGACCAACGACGAAAGUAUUCUAUUGGGCCGAUAACACUAAAAGACCAAAACUAAUGGAGCGAAUGGGAUUAAAUACACUUGUGACCAAGAUGUUAACGAUGUCAAAGAGGUUUUUUUUUUCAAAAUUAAUCUCAAAAUAAAAAAUUUCUGGCAAUAAUAAUAUCAAAU